UCCGGUUUGACACCGGCAGUCUCUCAUGAGUCCCCGACAUUACUCGCUGGCAACAUAAGACAGGGGUUGCGCUCGUUGCGGGACUUAACCCAACACCUCACGGCACGAGCUGACGACAACCAUGCACCACCUGUCACCCAGUCCGAAGAGGCACCCAUCUCUGAGUGUUCCCGGGUGAUGUCAAACCCAGGUAAGGUUCUUCGCGUUGCAUCGAAUUAAUCCGCAUGCUCCGCCGCUUGUGCGGGCCCCCGUCAAUUCCUUUGAGCUUUAGCCUUGCGGCCGUACUCCCCAGGCGGGGCACUUAACGCGUUAGCUGCGCCACCGAAGAGUUAAACCUCUCCAACGGCUAGUUCUCAUCGUUUACGGCGUGGACUAC
rnacentral:misc_RNA from 1 species